rnacentral:rRNA from 1 species
CAAGGGUUAAUUCCGGUGGCGGAUGGGCAUGCGUCGCAUUAGUUAGUUGGCGGUGUAACGGACCACCAAGACGACGAUGCGUAGGGGUUCUGAGAGGAAGGUCCCCCACACUGGUACUGAGACACGGACCAGACUCCUACGGGAGGCAGCAGUGAGGAAUAUUGGUCAAUGGGCGGGAGCCUGAACCAGCCAAGUCGCGUGAGGGAUGACGGCCCUAUGGGUUGUAAACCUCUUUUGCCGGGGAGCAAAGUGCCGCACGUGUGCGGUUUGGAGAGUACCCGGAGAAAAAGCAUCGGCUAACUCCGUGCCAGCAGCCGCGGUAAUACGGAGGAUGCGAGCGUUAUCCGGAUUUAUUGGGUUUAAAGGGUGCGUAGGCGGACGCUUAAGUCAGCGGUAAAAUUGCGGGGCUCAACCUCGUCGAGCCGUUGAAACUGGGUGCCUUGAGUGGGCGAGAAGUACGCGGAAUGCGUGGUGUAGCGGUGAAAUGCAUAGAUAUCACGCAGAACUCCGAUUGCGAAGGCAGCGUACCGGCGCCCAACUGACGCUGAAGCACGAAGGCGUGGGUAUCGAACAGGAUUAGAUACCCUGGUAGUCCACGCAGUAAACGAUGAAUGCUAGUUGUCCGGGGCGAUUGAGUUCUG